rnacentral:rRNA from 1 species
UUGGACCUGAUAUCAGGCAAGAUUACCGCUGACUUAC